GUCCACGCUGUAAACGAUGUCUACUAGCCGUUGGGAGACUUGAUUUCUUAGUGGCGCAGCUAACGCUUUAAGUAGACCGCCUGGGGAGUACGGCCGCAAGGUUAAAACUCAAAUGAAUUGACGGGGGCCCGCACAAGCGGUGGAGCAUGUGGUUUAAUUCGAUGCAACGCGAAGAACCUUACCAGGUCUUGACAUCCAGAGAACUUUCCAGAGAUGGAUUGGUGCCUUCGGGAGCUCUGAGACAGGUGCUGCAUGGCUGUCGU
rnacentral:rRNA from 1 species